rnacentral:lncRNA from 1 species
UGUAAUUGAUGGAAGUAAAGAGGAUAGCUUAAGAUAUGCUUAUUCAAAAGAAACAGUAGCAAAUCACUGAACUUGAUAGCGGACUAUAAGGAUAUAUUGAGAUUAAUUACCAGGAGGCAAGUGAGCUCAUUAUCUAGUAGUGGUGAGGAGGAGGAGGUGAGGAGUAGAUGUAAGCCGGUGGAGUGUGAACGGGAGGAGUAGGAGGCUUGUAAGGCUUCGUUGGUGGUGGUGGUGGUGGUGGUGGUGACUUGUAGUGGUAUGGAAUGUGGGGUGGAGAGUAGACUGGAGGAGGAGGAGAAGGCGGUGGUGGAGACUUGUAGUGGUAAGGCGGUGACUUGGGAGGGUAGUGGGGGUGCUUAGGUGGUGAGUACACUGGUGGUGUUGGGGAUGGUGGUGGCUUAGGAGGGUAAUGGGGGUGCUUGGGUGGUGAGUACUUGGGUGGUGUUGGAGAGGGUGGUGACUUGGGAGGGUAGUGAGGAUGCUUGGGUGGUGAGUACACUGGUGGUGUUGGUGAGGGUGGUGACUUGGGAGGGUAAUGAGGGUGCUUGGGUGGUGAGUAGACCGGUGUCUUAGGUGGUGACUUGGGGGGGUAGUAGGGGUGGUGAGGUGGUGAGUAGACUGGCGUUGGUGGUGGAGGAGACUUGUAGUGGUAUGGCUUCUUUGGUGGUGGUGGUGAGUGAUGUGGGUGGUAGGGCUUCUUGUGUGGUGGCGGGGGUGGUGGAGACUUGUAGUGGUAAGGCUUCUUCGGUGGUGGUGGAGGUGGUGGAGACUUGUAGUGGUAUGGCUUCUUUGGUGGUGGUGGUGAGUGGU